GUGCGAUCAUACCAGCAGUAAUGCACCGGAUCCCAUCAGAACUCCGAAGUUAAACGCGCUUGGGCGAGAGUAGUACUAGGAUGGGUGACCUCCUGGGAAGUCCUCGUGUUGCACCUC
rnacentral:rRNA from 3 species